rnacentral:rRNA from 1 species
AAUGAACGCUGGCGGCGCGCCUAAUACAUGCAAGUCGAGCGAGAAGACGUAGCAAUACGUUUGUAAAGCGGCGAACGGGUGAGGAAUACAUGGGUAACCUACCCUAGAGUGGGGAAUAACUAGCCGAAAGGUUAGCUAAUACCGCGUACGCUCCUUGGACUUCGGUUCAGGGAGGAAAGCGAUACCGAGGGUAUCGCGCUCUUGGAUGGGCUCAUGUCCUAUCAGCUUGUUGGGAGGUAACGGCUCACCAAGGCUUCGACGGGUAGCUGGUCUGAGAGGACGAUCAGCCACACUGGCACUGCGACACGGGCCAGACUCCUACGGGAGGCAGCAGUAAGGAAUAUUGCGCAAUGGGCGAAAGCCUGACGCAGCGACGCCGCGUGGGGGAGUGAAGGUCUUCGGAUUGUAAA